AACGAACGCUGGCGGCAUGCCUAACACAUGCAAGUCGAACGAGACCUUCGGGUCUAGUGGCGCACGGGUGCGUAACGCGUGGGAACCUGCCCUUAGGUUCGGAAUAACUCCCCGAAAGGGGUGCUAAUACCGGAUAAUGUCUUCGGACCAAAGAUUUAUCGCCUUUGGAUGGGCCCGCGUAGGAUUAGCUAGUUGGUGGGGUAAAGGCCUACCAAGGCGACGAUCCUUAGCUGGUCUUAGAGGAUGAUCAGCCACACUGGGACUGAGACACGGCCCAGACUCCUACGGGAGGCAGCAGUGGGGAAUAUUGGACAAUGGGCGAAAGCCUGAUCCAGCAAUGCCGCGUGAGUGAUGAAGGCCUUAGGGUUGUAAAGCUCUUUUACCCGGGAUGAUAAUGACAGUACCGGGAGAAUAAGCCCCGGCUAACUCCGUGCCAGCCGCCGCAGUAACAC
rnacentral:rRNA from 1 species